CGAGGCACAAAGGAAUCCGGUCAAUCGACCCGGAUUUAAUCAUUUGUGUCUCUUCAACAGGUAUUGCUGGAAGUGAGUUGCAGUAAGGUCAGGAAUUAAUCAGGCUACAAUUGCGACUCUUUUAGGUAUCUAUUCUGGAUGUGGGUUUCUGUAGGAAGGCAGUCAACCUAACCUAAUAUUAUUUAUUGAAUUGUGCAGGUAUUGCUGGAAGUGAGUUGCAGUAAGGUCAGGAAUUAAUCAGGCUACAAUUGCGACUCUUUUAGGUAAUCCUCCACAUAAAAUUCUGGUCCUUCGA